GGAGUCUAGCAUGUGCGCGAGUCAUUGGGACCGCAAUAAACCUAAAGGCGAAAUGAAAGUGAGAGGAGGCGCGUUCGCGCGUCUCCUGGGAGGAUGGGCCGCGUCGCGGCGCGGCCCCGCACUCCCGGGGCGUCUCGUUCUCGUCUCGAGGAGAGGCGCACCCGGAGCGUACACGCUGGGACCCGAAAGAUGGUGAACUAUGCCUGGCCAGGACGAAGUCAGGGGAAACCCUGAUGGAGGUCCGUAGCGAUUCUGACGUGCAAAUCGAUCGUCGGAACUGGGUAUAGGGGCGAAAGACUAAUCGAACCAUCUAGUAGCUGGUUCCCUCCGAAGUUUCCCUCAGGAUAGCUGGCGCUCGCCUUUGCGAGUCUCAUCCGGUAAAGCGAAUGAUUAGAGGCAUUGGGGUCGAAACGGCCUCAACCUAUUCUCAAACUUUAAAUGGGUGAGAUCUCCGGCUUGCUUAAACGCGUGAAGCCGCGAGAUCGGAUCAGAGUGCCAAGUGGGCCACUUUUGGUAAGCAGAACUGGCGCUGUGGGAUGAACCAAACGCGGAGUUAAAGCGCCCAAAUCGACGCUCAUGGGAUACCAUGAAAGGC
rnacentral:rRNA from 1 species